rnacentral:rRNA from 1 species
GACGAACGCUGGCGGCGUGCUUAACACAUGCAAGUCGAACGGAAAGGCCCUGCUUUUGUGGGGUGCUCGAGUGGCGAACGGGUGAGUAACACGUGAGUAACCUGCCCUUGACUUUGGGAUAACUUCAGGAAACUGGGGCUAAUACCGGAUAGGAGCUCCUGCUGCAUGGUGGGGGUUGGAAAGUUUCGGCGGUUGGGGAUGGACUCGCGGCUUAUCAGCUUGUUGGUGGGGUAGUGGCUUACCAAGGCUUUGACGGGUAGCCGGCCUGAGAGGGUGACCGGCCACAUUGGGACUGAGAGACGGCCCAGACUCCUACGGGAGGCAGCAGUGGGGAAUAUUGCACAAUGGGAGGAAGCCUGAUGCAGAAACGCCGCGUGCGGGAUGACGGCCUUCGGGUUGUAAAACGCUUUCGCCUGUGACGAAGCGUGAGUGACGGUAAUGGGUAAAGAAGCACCGGCUAACUACGUG